ACUCCUGCGGGAGGCAGCAGUGGGGAAUAUCGCACACUGGGCGCAAGCCUGAUGCAGCCAUGCCGCGUGUAUGAAGAAGGCCUUCGGGUUGUAAAGUACUUUCAGCGGGGAGGAAGGCGAUAAGGUUAAUAACCUUGUCGAUUGACGUUACCCGCAGAAGAAGCACCGGCUAACUCCGUGCCAGCAGCCGCGGUAAUACGGAGGGUGCAAGCGUUAAUCGGAAUUACUGGGCGUAAAGCGCACGCAGGCGGUCUGUCAAGUCGGAUGUGAAAUCCCCGGGCUCAACCUGGGAACUGCAUUCGAAACUGGCAGGCUAGAGUCUUGUAGAGGGGGGUAGAAUUCCAGGUGUAGCGGUGAAAUGCGUAGAGAUCUGGAGGAAUACCGGUGGCGAAGGCGGCCCCCUGGACAAAGACUGACGCUCAGGUGCGAAAGCGUGGGGAGCAAACAGGAUUAGAUACCCGGGUAGUCCCAUGAU
rnacentral:rRNA from 1 species